rnacentral:lncRNA from 1 species
AGAGAGAGAGAGNGGGAAGGAGGGAGAGAGAGAGGGCGGAAGAGAGGGAGAGGGCGAUAUACUCUAAUAUUAAUUCUUGUUUACAGGUCCAAGACCCAUAACUCUGUUAAAAAUAUGGUGGCAAGCAUUAUUAAGAUUUCUACUUGUGAUACAAGUUUUAAAUAAAAUAGUAGAAAUCUUAUCAGCACCAAAUGUAUAAAUAUGAAUAUAAAUUGGACAGCGCAUUAGUUAAAUAAAUUAGAGAUUAGUACAUCUAAGAACCCAUUGUAAAAAAAAAAGAAAAAGAAAUAAAAAGUUUUCAAUGUCCUAUAAUUAGGAAACAUAAAGCUAACUAACCUAAAUGAGUAAUCAAACUGACAGUAAAGUUGUCCUCUAUUAGUAAAGAAUAAGAAAACUUGCCUGUACUUGACGAGCAGCAUAAGAAGGUACACUUCCUAUUACAUUCCUACUUGAUGUUGUGCGUGAUGAGCUUGUAGAAGAGGACAUGAAUAACCAUGAGAAAAAUGAUGCUACCAUUUCUGGAAACUGUAGAAUCAAAUUACACAAUCAAGACAGGCAAUAAAAGAUCUAGUCGAAAAUUACAUAUAACAGAAAAUCAGACAAUUUAGUGUCUGAAAUCAACUUCUCAUGGGACAACUUAAAAAUCAUAAUCAAAGAUAACAAGGUUAUUGAAUCUAUUAUUAGUACUCAGAUUCAUACAUAAUCUUCUCUCUUCAAUGAAGCAAAUCAAAAAUUUAAAUUGGUGUGGUAACAGCAAAUGAAUCUGUGGCUACCAAACAAAUAUUGUAGGCUAAAAUAGACGCAGAGAAGGAUUCAGAUGGCUGAUACUCUCGAAACAAAACUAGUAUCUAUGGUACGGGCAUAUGUUUUAAGCAAAAUAAUAAAGAAGGUCGCAAUUAGAAACCUAGGAAAAAAUAUAGUCAAACUGAAGUUUCAUUAAAAAACAAAUAUGUGUGCCUUGGUACCUUAAAAAGCAGUGUCACUUUAACAAAACAGUGAACACCAACUUGUAUGCUAUCAGACUGCCUAAUUCUAAAGACAAGAAAUGACUGGAAUUGGAACCAGUUCCAACAACCAUAUGCAUGAAUAAGAAGGAACUAAAAGGUCAAGCAAGAAAGUGACAUUCUAAGCAUUUCAAAAACUAUCUGUAUGCUUACAAGAAAAUGCACAUUUAUUUCUGCUUGGCUCUAUAGCUGCUUUAUUUUUUAUAUGUAAUGAAUCUGGGAUGUGUAAUUUUGAAACAAGUUCCUCACAUAUCAAGGAAAAGUAACAUCAUAAACAACUGUUUUGCAUGCAAAAUGCCUAUCAGCCAGAAAUGCCCAGACUGCCCUAGAAAUGAAUUAAAUCAUACAAAGCAAGAUAUGAUUAAAAUUUAAGUCAACUAUGACUAACCUGAACACCUAAUCUGUAGAAUCUAAUAUUCAUAAAGAAACACACGCUUAUUUGUCUAAGAAACUGUGGGCAAGACAUGCAUGUGUACACUGUCAAAAAGCCCCUUACAUCACCAUCCAAUAAGAUGCUCCCUUGUAAGACUUGGAAAAUUCUUCAUGCUAUAUUUAAAGACAGAAGUCAAACAAAUCAAAUUCUUGACUGAUUUGAAGGAGCAUAUGCGCAUAAUCCUGAUC